GGGGAUAUAGCUCAGCUGGGAGAGCGCUACACUGGCAGUGUAGAGGCCAAGGGUUCGAAUCCCUUUAUCUCCACCA
rnacentral:tRNA from 1 species